rnacentral:lncRNA from 1 species
UUUAGGGAGCUCUAAUUUGGAAGUCCUGUUUUCCCCCCAAAUACCAGGACUCCUCCCCAUGCUCAGGGGGAAAACUCUACUGCAAGACCUCCCGUUUCCAGCUGACCAGCAGCCCAGAGAGCCUCCUCCCUGCACAGAAGGGCUCAGGGCAGAGUCCUUUUUCCCGUCAUUGGCUGCAAUGCAUUGAGGAGGACCCCAAGGCAGGGCCUGCGCAUCUGAACUGCCUUGGACUCUGGGGCGCCCUCACUGGAGCUCCCCUCCUGGAACCCAUUUCCUCCAGGAGAAACCUUGAGAAUGAAGACGGGGUCUAAGGCGUCACUUCUCCUUCCUGCCACCAUGUGAAGAAGGACAUGUUUGCUUCCCUUCAGCCAGGAUUGCAAGCUUCCUGAGGCCUCCACAGCCCUGCGGAACUAAUCCCUGGUGGACUCUCGCAUUUGGUGGCAUUACCUGAUUAUCUGUGUGCCCACCAUGUAGCUCCUGGGCUCUCUGCCCACGGCUUGUUCUACAUCAGAAAGAGAAACUGCAAUGACCCCCUCCCUGCCCUCCGGAGCCUCCUUCACCAUCGAGGUGGCUUGGAAAACCCAGACGUAAAAGCUUUAAGGCAGAAGGGGGAAAGCACUGCGGUAAUAAGGAUGAAACUGCCCCCAGCAGGUGCUGGCAAAGUCAGCUCUCGGGGCCUUGUUCUUCCCGUUUGAUCACUGCUUCUCAGCCCUCUCCUCCUCCCACCUCUGCACCCACCCUGCCUCUCUCUCCUCUCUAUGGUCUUUGUUUUCCUCCCUCCCCUUCCCCAACACACAUCCAUGCAUGUUCACACACAUAGAUAAAGGUCUUGCCUUUCAAGGCAUUUAAAAUAAAGUUGGAAGAAAUAUAUGUAUAGUGUAAAGAACACUUCUAUGUCUGGAUUUGCUUGUUAACAUUUUG